AUUGAACGCUGGCGGCAGGCCUAACACAUGCAAGUCGAGCGGAUGAAGGGAGCUUGCUCCUGGAUUCAGCGGCGGACGGGUGAGUAAUGCCUAGGAAUCUGCCUGGUAGUGGGGGAUAACGUCCGGAAACGGGCGCUAAUACCGCAUACGUCCUGAGGGAGAAAGUGGGGGAUCUUCGGACCUCACGCUAUCAGAUGAGCCUAGGUCGGAUUAGCUAGUUGGUGGGGUAAAGGCCUACCAAGGCGACGAUCCGUAACUGGUCUGAGAGGAUGAUCAGUCACACGGGAACUGAGACACGGUCCAGACUCCUACGGGAGGCAGCAGUGGGGAAUAUUGGACAAUGGGCGAAAGCCUGAUCCAGCCAGGCCGCGUGUGUGAAGAAGGUCUUCGGAUUGUAAAGCACUUUUAGUUGGGAGGAAGGGCAGUAAGUUAAUACCUUGCUGUUUUGACGGUACCAACAGAAUAAGCACCGGCUAACUUCGUG
rnacentral:rRNA from 1 species